rnacentral:ribozyme from 14 species
GUGAGUGCCAUAAUGAUGAAGAAUUUAAUGAAACCAAGUAAGAAAAACUUGGUAACUUCCUCGCCAUAAAUGGGAAAGAUUGUCUUACGAAUCUUGGAAAGUGCGCUCAUGG